rnacentral:rRNA from 1 species
GUCUACAGCCAUACCACCCUGAAUAUACUGAUCUCAUCUGACCUCAGAAGCUAAGCAGGGGUGGGGCCUGGUUAGUACUUGCAUAGGAGAAAAGAGUGGAAGUGAGAAGGGGGGUAGAAA